AUAAAGACAGUGAUGGAAUAUAGUAAGAUAUUUUUAUUUUUAGAGAGAAAUACGUGAGCUGGAAGUGUUUCAUAUAAAAUUAUCUGAAUUUCAAUUCUUUAGUUGCUACCGGAAUUUAGUAAUAAUGAAUGGUGUGCCGCUUACAUGGGCGUUAACAUGAAAGUGCUAAGAUUUUUUUAGAACAAGGGUGGUACCGCGAGACCUCGUCCCUUUU
rnacentral:ncRNA from 1 species